GACUCCUGACAAAAGCAACAGCUGCUUGAAGCUCUAAUCCAACUCCAUGGCUCACAGCACGAAGAGAGUCUAUCCUCCUUUUCCAAGGGUGAGAUCAGCAGCCCUUUUAGAGGCAGCAAUAUAUCUAAGAUCAGUAAAGACUGCAUUAAGGGGUGAUCAAGAGAAAUGUGCUUCAUUCACAAAACUCAUGGAAGACUACUUGCACCAUAGGGUUACUGUGGAGCAAGUGGUGUCAGUAGUGAAGGAGCUAUUCAGAGACCACGAAGGACUGAUUGUCGGUUUCAACGACUACUUGCCUGAAGAACACAGGAUUAGUGUUCCAGUCCAAGACAUCUGAGAGGUUCCUAUGCAUGAUUAAUGGUUAUUAUGAACCUUUUUUUUGUGUUUUUUCUUUUUUCUUUUUUCACUCAUGUCUCAUACAAUUCCAUAGAUCCAAAUUCAAGUCUUGUUCUUAUUUAUCCAGAUGCAGACCGCAUAAUGAAAUGCUGGCUCUUUAUUGUGUCAAAAAAAAAAAAGGUUAAAUGUGUCACAGACUCAAUCAUAAUGUUUGUCUUCAUUUACAUAUUUUGUCUUUGAGGGCCUGGAGCAGGUAUAGCAAAAUGGAAGUGCCGUAAAAAAUAUAAGUCAUAAGUGAACAUUUGGGAAGUCUACUUGUAAAUGAAAC